rnacentral:rRNA from 1 species
CCUACGGGGGGCAGCAGUGGGGAAUAUUGGACAAUGGGGGGAACCCUGAUCCAGCCAUGCCGCGUGUGUGAAGAAGGCCCUCGGGUUGUAAAGCACUUUCAGUGAGGAAGAACGCCUGGUGGUUAAUACCCAUCAGGAAAGACAUCACUCACAGAAGAAGCACCGGCUAACUCCGUGCCAGCAGCCGCGGUAAUACGGAGGGUGCGAGCGUUAAUCGGAAUUACUGGGCGUAAAGCGCGCGUAGGUGGCUUGAUAAGCCGGUUGUGAAAGCCCCGGGCUCAACCUGGGAACGACAUCCGGAACUGUCAAGCUAGAGUGCAGGAGAGGAAGGUAGAAUUCCCGGUGUAGCGGUGAAAUGCGUAGAGAUCGGGAGGAAUACCAGUGGCGAAGGCGGCCUUCUGGACUGACACUGACACUGAGGUGCGAAAGCGUGGGUAGCAAACAGGAUUAGAUACCUUUGUAGUC